rnacentral:tRNA from 1 species
GGGAGUGUAGUUCGAUGGUAGAGUGCAUGCUUAGCAUGUAUGAUGCCCUGGAUUCAAUUCCCAGCACCG